GGAGAGCCAAUAAUCAUGGCUCUGUGAUAACAUAUUAAAGAACAAGUUGUUGCACAGAAGAAUUUUUGAGCCAAGGGAGAGCUGACCGAAGCUCCCGGGCAGCCCUGCUGCCUCCCCUGCUGCCUCCCCUGCUGUGGGAGGGUGGUGGGGUGGUGGCAGCCUGACCCGGGCCUCUCAGCACCCAGCCUGGAGCAGGCACCGGCGGCCCCUGUGAAGGGGUGGUCGGGGCCGGGGCGUGCGGCCCCGUGGAGAGUGGCCCCACAGCCCCCAGGCCCACCCCACGAGCAGCCCAUGCUGGAGCCCGUCCUGCCCGAGGAGCCAAACAGCAUCGACAGCACCAAAGCCCCCAAGCCGAGUUGAGCCAAGCUGGGGCUGGAACGGCCUGCCGCAGUGCAGCCGAGCCCAUGCUGGAGCAGACGGAUGCAUGGAAGAAGGCCGUUACCCCCUGUGGAAGGCCCAGGAUGGAGUGGAGUCCUUCAAGAGACUUGUGGCCCAUGGAGAGGAAAAUCCACACCGGAGUAGGUUAUUCCCGGGUAGGACUCAUGGCCCUGUGGGGGAUCCACAUUGUUACAGCUCACCCUAUGAAGGACUGACUGCAUCCUAUGAAGGAUGGAGAAGUGACCCUCAGGACAGUAGAUAUGGAAGAACUACUGCCUGAGGAGUGGACCCAUGUUGGAGAGUUCCAUCAAGGACUGUUACCUGUGGGAGGGAUCCCACGGAGCAGGGGAAGGACUCAGAGCUGUGUCCCCCCUGUAACCUGUGGUGAGGACCACGGUGGAACAGGCCGUGCCCUUGUAGCCCAUGGAAGAGUGACUUAGGGGACAGCAGAUUUAGAAGACCUGUUGCCUGAGGGGGUGGACUUGUCUCCCUGCCCUGCUGCAGGGGGAGGAGAGAGAACAUGGAAGGAAGGAGGGGUGGGUGGAAAGUGUGUUUAAGACUGUUUUAUUUCUCACUCUUUAGAUCUUAUCCUGUUAGUAAUAAAUUUUAGUAUUAAUCCCACGUUUAGUUUGUUUUGCCUGUGUGACCUCUCCCAGCUCAGAGCGACUUUAGUGGGUGCCUAGAAUUCGGCCAAGGUCAACCCAUGACAACAUUAUAGAAAUGGAAUCUCUGAAGAGAAAAUCGGUCUAGUAUUUGAUGCUUGAUAUUUAGUCUUACACACUAUCAUUAUUCUAACUGAGUUUCAGAGAUCACUGUGACUAAGAUAUGAAGGUUACUGAGGAAUGAAAAAAUUUCCUGCUUGAAAACUGGAACAUAAGUCCAGAUGGUGCAAAAUGGCUUUAACAUGACAGAAAAUUGAAAGCAGCUUUCUUUUGGAAGGCCAGAAAUAAAUUUUCUUGCAUGAAAUAUCAUUAACUUUAGCAUGCAGGGUUUUUCUUUUCAUUAAAUUCUCUCUCUCUCUCAGAUACUUAUUUCCUACCCCUCAAAUUGCCUAAAUCUAAAUACAGUAAAGAGAAAAUGAGUCUAGACUCAAGCUACCAUAAAUGCUUGGAAGAUGUCCCAUUGCCUCCUUCCUAAAAUGAAGAGCUGUCUGAGUUUGUGCUCUAAUUUCACCUGCAUGAGCUUUGGCAGAAGGAUGAAAGGAGAGGCCCAUGCAAUUUGACCUCCACUAGUACCUCUAUUCUCUCCCCUGAGGUGAACCCAUUCUUGGGAACUUUCAUUAGCCAAGUUAUUAUCUGAAAGAGAAGAAAGACUCUUUCUUUUUGCUUGUGAGGACAUGCAUGGUCCAAAGUUCUUCUGGUAACUGUUGAAUUGAGAAGUAGACAGUUGCACAUGAGCUCGGCUACUUGAACUUCUCAUACAGCGAAAUUAAGUAAUCCUUGCCAGAUUUGUUACACUUGUAUUGAUAAAGGAUCUAACACAGUUUUCACAGCAUAUUUUGACAUAAGGACCUCUAAAACCUUUCAAUGGAAAGGUACAGUCUGUUAAGGCCACUGGAUGCAGGUGCUUGUUCUUAGUACUUUCUGUCGAGACAUUAUAAGUAACAUAACAAAUCCAGAAGUCUUGGAGUUGAAAGCAACUGAUGCAAAUGAAAGGUGUUGCUUAUCUGAUGAGGUGCUAAAUCUGCACUGCUUUUCCUCUGAAAUGGAGCAAUGCAGCAAAAUAGACGUGGUGAAGUCUGGCUACCAGAUCACGAGCAAAUCUGCUUGACUCAGUCCUAGGGUGGUUUGAAAUGAACAAACUGUACCCCAUUGCUUAAAAUUACCUCAGAUCCUAAGGACUGGAAAGUGGUAAAUGUGACAUCAAUAUUUAAUAAGACCCCUGGGGAAAUUUGGAGAACUACAAGGAGACAAAUCUGCCUUAUAUACUGAGCAGAUUAAUAGGAAAACAUUGAAAAAUACAAAUAUGUUAUACAUAGAAUGAAUCAAAAUGGCUUUUAGAAUAAAAGCUGUUGGAGUUAUUUGAAGAUAUCAACAAACAUACAACUAAGGAUGAGCUAAUCACUAAAUCAUUUUAACAAUGUCUCUCCUCAAAGUGCAUUAAGGAAACAAAACAAUUAUGAUUAUAAAAUUAGUAGACUAAUAGGAAGUGGAAUAACUGUAGAACUCCAUAAAUGUUUGUAAGUGAUCAUGCAAAUAAUGUGAAGAAUUAGGAGACACUUUUUGCUGAUAACACUGAAUUAUUCACAGUAGUAAAAGCUAAAUCUACCAAGACUCAUGAAAAGAUUUUGUGAGAAUAUCAAUAAAUAAUGCAAUGGUUGAAGAAAUUCAAUGCUGAUAAAUACAAAUGAAUGCAAAACCUGCCCUAAUUACACCUAAUUCACAAUAAUGGUCUCUAAAUGAGCUAUUGCUACCCUGGAAAAAGAUCUUGUAAUCCUUGUGAGUAUUUCUCUGAAAAUUUCAACUUAGUUCAGGGCAGUGAUCAAAAAACCUAAACUGAAUGUUAGGAAUUAUUAGGAAAGAAAUAGGGAAUAUAAAAGGAAACAUCAUCAUGCCAGACUGUAUAUGCCUCUGGAAUGACAACAGUGUUUUCAGUUCUAGUCACAUCAGCCCGGUAGGUCUGUCCUACAGCUAGAGAGGUGUAACAAUGGGCAGCAAGGAUAAAAAUACCAAAACACAUAACAGUUCCCAUCUGAGAAGAAAAUAUGCUCCCAAAUAAAAUAAACUCAGGUGCAAGGGAUGAAGGAGGAUAAUUCUCUGUGCCAGUGGUGGCAAAGAAACAUGAUAAUCCCCUUGGGCUUUAGAGGAGGGAUAUGCCCAUCUUAUCACGUCCAACAGGCUCCCCUGAAUUUACCAACCUUAUAUUUUUAUUUGUAACCUGAUCACAGAUAGGUAACAAUGCUUUUCCUGUACAUGAUCAAAUGCAUAGCAGAACAACUUUUCAAAGUCCAAGGAGUAAGUGUAACAAAGCUCACAGCUUUUACACACUAAUCGAAAUAAACACAAAAUUUCAUAUUUUAAAAGACAAAGAUACUUUUACAGUUGGGGCUUUCCUAAAGUGGAUAUGGUUUCCAUAUCAAUCCACAGUGGAUUUCCUGUCUAAUUACUCAUCCAUUCAUCCCCCUAAGCCAUGUAAAGAUUUUCCACUAACAAGAGCCUUCUGCAAUAGGUUCCGCAGGUCGAUUAUCUGCUGCAUGACAAACCCCUUCCUUCUUCUGUUUGUUUUGGGACUGCCAAGUUCCCGUGAUGCCCCUUACUGCAACACAAUAUAUUGAAAGGAUCCAGGCUGUCAAAGCACCAAAUAAUAAUAUGCACCCAGCCUGUUGACAUGUCUUUGAGAAGAGCCAUAAUUUAAUAGAAGAUAAAUAAGAAAGGAACAUAACAGAAAAGCAAUAUGAAUUAUACUUUCCAGUUAGCAGCUUUGGUGCACUAAGAAGAAACAGACUCUCUGUUAGCUGUGGCAAUGCUAAUUCAUCCACAAACCCAGUGGAAAAGCAAAAGUAUAAUUUCAAUUGUAAUUAUUAUUCAGGCAACAAUUCAUCCUGACCUAAUAGCACCCUAAAAAUAUUUUCUUUCAAAAUAAGUCUUUAUUUUCUGCAGUCACAGAUCUAUCAUACAUUAGCUAUUUUAUCUAAUGUACUGCAUUUAACUCUCUGGUCUAGUUGAAAUACAUUUCAAUACAUUUACCCUGGGAGGGUGUAAAUUACCCAGACUGCCUGCCUGUGAGAAGGUGAUCUUGCUAAAGGCACUGUGUCUGUGUCAAGCAGAACCUCAUGGCUGUUCCUCAGCUGGAGGCCAUGGAGUCUGGGCCUCCCAGGUGGCAAGGAUUUGCAGAGUUCUGUCUUGAAAAACAGAGCUGUCCAUCAGCUUCUUGUUGGGAACAUCUUCCCGGCCUUCCUUCUUUCUGAUUCAGUAUGGCAACAAAAGGACAGCUGUCAGUCUAUGUACCAAAGUGCUCUGGGCAAGGCUUGCUCCAGGAUGCUAAGAACUAUGGUGUACUAUGUACUUUGCUAUUCCCUCUGCACACAGAUUUGUAGCCCAUAGUAGAAGGGCAUAUUAGCAACCCAAACCACUCUGCAUUUUGCAGCCCAGCUCUACUUUUGUGGGAGCUGGGACUAUAGCAAAUAACACUCAAAUAAUUAUUGUGAAAUAGGACUCAGUUUGCCUUUAGAUUAUUAGUUCACUUAUGACUUCAACUGUCUUUUAUUGUUGUCUUAUGUCUCUUCUCUGGUCUUUGGAAAUAAUUUUCAUUUUUGCUAAUCAGGCUAGUAAUCAAAGCCUCCAGUUCCAGAUGCAAGUUCCCACUCACAAAGUCCCUGAAGGGUUGAUUGCUGGAAACUGGGAGGAUGUGCCAGGGAAAGAAACACUCAGCUGAAGCAGCCAUUCAUUGCUCUUAUAAGCAGGAACAUGGAUCUUUGUGCUAAGUCAGUUCUUACAUUUGCAUGAGUAAAGCAGACAGGAGAAUUUUUUAAUUUAAUACGUUAAUGCAUGUAAACUACAGCUCGAUAUGUAGCUGAUAUCUUUUAAGAUAGGGGACAGAUUUCCUAUUCUCAAUUGGCUCUGAAAGGCUAUCAAAUCAUAGAAUCAGAAUAUUCUGUGCUGGAAGGGACCCACAAGGGAAACAGUCAAAAACAGACAAAAAAUGUUGAGUUCCCUUCCAACUCAGAAUAUUGUGUGAUUCUGAGUUUCUUUAAUACUUUGUUUGUCAUAAAAACUUGGCUGAUUAUUCUUGCAUAAUUUUAUGCAUAAUGAUUUCUCAUCCCAUAAAAAGCAACAAUGUGACUUGUGGAAUGAAUUUUUAAGUAUGCUUGCAGGCUUAUUUUGCUAUUAUUUAACUGUGUUUAUCCCAGAGGCUCAGAACAAGAGUUUUAAAGGUAUUCACCGCUGGCCUAAGUAUACUUUCAUGUCUGUUAAUGCAAAUGUGCCAUCCUGCUUAUGUUUUUCCUGUAGACUGCUGGACAAACUUACCUCAGUUGGGUAGCAAGGACAUUUGCAGUUUUUAAACACACUCUAAAGUAGUCUGAUUAAAAUCAGGGCUACUUUAAACAUCAUGCCAGCAGCCCACUCUAUAAAUGUUUACUGGUUCAGUUUUGGGAUUCUAAUUCUCUCUCUGUCCUUCCAGUACAGAAGGCUGGGUGACAAAAGAAACUCCUGAUGAUUACUUUGGUUUGAAAUCAGUUUUUCUAACUUUGGUGUCUCCUUUGGUUUGCAUAGCUUCUGGGUGUGCUGCCACCCUGAGCCUCUUUUUCUCUCCAAUACAGCACCAUACCGUCUUCACACGAAUGAGCAAAACCCUUCUUGUCAUGUAACUUAUGUGACGUGGACUUCUGAAGCUGCAGUAAAAAGCGGAGGGAAUACAAGUGCUGUGUGCAUAACCUGGCGUGUCUGCUUGUACCAUUAAUAAAAUGUCUGAAUAGCAGCUAAACCCA